rnacentral:lncRNA from 1 species
AUCUUCACUUGUACAAGUUGUCUUUAUGCUGCGAGAUAAGUCCUCUCUUGGUUUGAGCUCCCACCUUUUCAGUGAACUCUUACAUUUUGGGGGAUCUGCUCUUGUAAAGGACAUCCUUUCUGGUCUUUGAUUACUUGAGAAAAGUGAGUGAGGUGGGGCCAAGAUGGUUGACUAGAAGCAGCUAGUGUAUGCCACUCUCACAAAUAGCAGAAAGAGUGGUGAGGUGAGUAGACACUAGCUCUUCAACCGGAACAUCCAGGUGGACACAUAAGGAUUCAUCAGUGACAUAGUGUGACCUUCGGAUCACGGAGAAGAGUGAGACAGAUCAACCAUUCACCCAGGAGUGGCACAGACCCAGGGGAAUCCCCCUACAAGAAAAUGGUCAGUGAGUGAGAGUCCUGUGGGAUGCAUAUUCUGCCACGAACCUUUGAAUCCCUGGGCUCAGGAGAUACCCCAACUGGGGUCUCCAGACCAAAACAGAGAGCCAUGUGGAGUCUGGGUAGAGCUGCUUCUUAGGCCAGGAACCUUCAGAUAUAUUGGAGACCUCAAGAAGAGAGAAAUUCAUGCAAAUUUUUAGAUACUGCAGCCAAAGUCUGAUGUUCACCCUCCUUUGACUUCUGACCCUUGAAAGGCUUUUAAAAGUCGAAUCUGAGAUUUCUUAUCAAAAGUUCCAUCAAAAUAAACUUAAAAACAGCCCAUGUUUCAUCCCUUUUCUUGCUACACUGUUGUCAAUAAUCAUGCCAAGUUUAA